rnacentral:misc_RNA from 1 species
AACUGAUACUACCUGCGGGAACCUGCGGAAGGAUCAUUACCGAGUUAUCAACUCCCAAACCCCUGUGAACAUACCCGAACGUUGCCUCGGCGGGACCGCCCCGGCGCCCCUAGCGGCCCGGAACCAGGCGCCCGCCGGAGGACCCAAACUCUUGCUUUAAACAGUGGCAUACUCUCUGAGUCUCACAAACAAAAAAUAAAUCAAAACUUUUAACAAUGGAUCUCUAGAUCGGAAGAGCAC